UGAGGAAUAUUGGUCAAUGGGCGGAAGCCUGAACCAGCCAUGCCGCGUGCAGGACGACGGCCCUACGGGUUGUAAACUGCUUUUCCGGGGGAAGAAUAAGGGCGACGUGUCGCCCGAUGCCGGUACCCCGGGAAUAAGGAUCGGCUAACUCCGUGCCAGCAGCCGCGGUAAUACGGAGGAUCCGAGCGUUAUCCGGAUUUACUGGGUUUAAAGGGUGCGUAGGCGGGCCCCUCAGUCAGCGGUGAAAGUCUGCGGCUCAACCGUAGGAUUGCCGUUGAUACUGGGGGCCUUGGAUUCGGUCGAGGCGGGCGGAAUGCGUGGUGUAGCGGUGAAAUGCUUAGAUAUCACGCAGAACGCCGAUUGCGAAGGCAGCUCGCCGGGCCGAUAUCGACGCUGAGGCACGAAAGCGUGGGGAUCGAACA
rnacentral:rRNA from 1 species